rnacentral:rRNA from 1 species
ACGAACGCUGGCGGCUUGCUUAACACAUGCAAGUCGAACGGAAAGGCCCUGCUUUUGUGGGGUGCUCGAGUGGCGAACGGGUGAGUAACACGUGAGUAACCUGCCCUUGACUUUGGGAUAACUUCAGGAAACUGGGGCUAAUACCGGAUAGGAGCUCCUGCUGCAUGGUGGGGGUUGGAAAGUUUCGGCGGUUGGGGAUGGACUCGCGGCUUAUCAGCUUGUUGGUGGGGUAGUGGCUUACCAAGGCUUUGACGGGUAGCCGGCCUGAGAGGGUGACCGGCCACAUUGGGACUGAGAUACGGCCCAGACUCCUACGGGAGGCAGCAGUGGGGAAUAUUGCACAAUGGGCGGAAGCCUGAUGCAGCAACGCCGCGUGCGGGAUGACGGCCUUCGGGUUGUAAACCGCUUUCGCCUGUGACGAAGCGUGAGUGACGGUAAUGGGUAAAGAAGCACCGGCUAACUACGUG